rnacentral:rRNA from 1 species
GGGGAAUAUUGCACAAUGGGGGAAACCCUGAUGCAGCAACGCCGCGUGAAGGAUGAAGGUUUUCGGAUUGUAAACUUCUUUAGUCAGGGACGAAACAAAUGACGGUACCUGAAGAAUAAGCCACGGCUAACUACGUGCCAGCAGCCGCGGUAAUACGUAGGUGGCGAGCGUUGUCCGGAAUUACUGGGUGUAAAGGGCGUGUAGGCGGGAAUGUAAGUCAGAUGUGAAAUCCCAGGGCUCAACCCUGGAGCUGCAUCUGAAACUAUGUUUCUUGAGUGUCGGAGAGGAAAGCGGAAUUCCUAGUGUAGCGGUGAAAUGCGUAGAUAUUAGGAGGAACACCAGUGGCGAAGGCGGCUUUCUGGACGAUAACUGACGCUGAGGCGCGAAAGCGUGGGGAGCAAAC